rnacentral:rRNA from 1 species
UACGAAGGGGGCAAGCGUUGUUCGGAAUUACUGGGCGUAAAGGGCGCGUAGGCGGUGCUCUAAGUCAGGCGUGAAAGCCCUGUGCUCAACCCGGGAAUUGCGCUUGAUACUGGAGCGCUUGAAUCCAGGAGAGGUUGGUGGAAUUCCCAGUGUAGAGGUGAAAUUCGUAGAGAUUGGGAAGAACACCGGUGGCGAAGGCGGCCAACUGGACUGGUAUUGACGCUGAGGCGCGAAAGCGUGGGGAGCAAACAGG